rnacentral:rRNA from 1 species
UACAGAGGUCUCAAGCGUUGUUCGGAUUCAUUGGGCGUAAAGGGUGCGUAGGCGGCGCGGUAAGUCGGGUGUGAAUCUCGGAGCUUAACUCCGAAACUGCAUUCGAUACUGCCGUGCUUGAGGACUGGAGAGGAGACUGGAAUUUACGGUGUAGCGGUGAAAUGCGUAGAUAAUCGUAAGGAAGACCAGUGGCGAAGGCGGGUCUCUGGACAGUUCCUGACGCUGAGGCACGAAGGUCAGGGGAGCAAACGGG